UCGGCCUCUCCCCUCAGCCGCUUCCCGAGCCGCCCCGGCACAGCAGCGAGCGGCCUUGGGCUCGGCUGCUUUCAGUACCGCUCCCCCGUGUGAGGUGUUGCCGUGGGCUCCCGGGCAGCGCCGGCCCUGCAGGAAGCACCGCGCAGCCGAGAGAAUGGCUUUUUGGUUGCCAGAUGGCAUGGCUACUUGGAUAGGCUAACAUAAAACAAGGAAGGAUCUGUGUUUGUGAUGUGGCAACUACUUCAUGCAUGUUGUCUCAAGGUAUCCAUGAAGAAUUUUGUGUUUGUUCUGUAGGAACAAUAAGUGUUCCAUGUUUUGGAAAGAGAUGGAGAUCAGCUGAAGCGUUUGUCUGGCUCACAUCACAUUACAUCCAAAUUGCAUCUGAAAUCUCCAGUUGCUUUGUUUUGCCAAUGGACAGGCUUUCAGAAGGUUAGUCAGGAAUGUUAAAGCCAUGUUGAAUAGGUAUAUGGGUCAUAUUGUGGGGUUAAUUCUUCCCUUGACUUGAACUAAAUCAAGUGAAACCCCCAUUAAGCCAGAGGUAUUGCCACAAAGCAAAAUAGGCAUGAAAGGACAGCCAAACACAGACUGCUUCCUGCAGGCUGUUUCCUCAUAUUCAUUCAGUUCUUCAAUGUGUAAGGAACACAGAAGCCAGGUACAGUGGCAAUAGGACAUUAGGAUGGCAGAAAGGGAAUGAAGAAGUACCACUGCCCUGCUUCCUCUGCUAAGCAAACACAGAUCUUUCUAGUUACAUAGUCUGAUUUGAGAUGUGUGUUACAGGUUUUCAAAAUGUAUGUUAGAGUAUAAAUCACCGGAAGGUAAACAUUGUAUGGUUUCAUAUGGGGAUAAAUACAUACAGGCUGUAUAUUCAACUUCAGUAGUAUUUUGCUUGCUUUCAUAAGAAUAAAUGUGCAUACACAGCUAUUAUGUAGUGAUAUUCAAUAACUAAAUCUAAAUUUCUGCAGAAGGACACACAUUAAAAAAAAACAAAAAACAACUCUUCAUUUUAAAUGUUUUUCAGUGUGUCCUUUCUCUUAAGCUACUUUGUCUUUCACAGCCACUUUCUUACUCAUCUAUAAAACAUGAAUGUCCCUCAUCCUCCCACCCACCAAGUCACUCUGGACCAUUAAGGUCCUGGAGCUUCUGAUCUUGUGGCACUUGGGAACAUGAUUUAGUAUUGUCAGUAUUAGGUAAAUAGUUGAACUCAAUGAUCUUGGAGGUCUUUUCCCACCUGAGUGAUUCCAUGAUACAAUGUUUCAUUUGCUCUGUGAUAAAGCUCUUUGUACGGUAUCUGUCUUUUGGAGCCCUUCUAUGUCCUCAAAUCUUUUUUUUUUUUUUGAGGUUUAUGUUGAUCUUUGUGUUGGUCUUUCCGUCAUGGUUGUAUAAGGAUAGAAUCCACUGUCUAAGCAGUUUCUCUCAUUCCCACCCCUAGACCCCUGCCCUUCCUGAAUUUGGAAAAAGUGCUGAUAUGACAGUGAAGCACUCAGUGAGAUAAGUGGUAGACUUCCUGAAACUGUGUUCUCUGUGCGGUGUCUGCUAGUGGGAGUGACUUGCAGCAACAAAUCUGCAGUGUGGAACGGAGCCAGAGAAACCAUGAGGAGUGAAAGAUGUCCAAGUUACCUAAGCAAAUUGGAUUGUACAGGCAAAAGAUUGGAAAUUAAGAUAGACUGCUCUUAAAAAGUGCAGAACCAUUGUAAAGUGUUCUGUCAAUCUGCAUUUCCUACUGUUUCAACUGCAUUUCUUCCCUUCGCAGGCAUGUCUUAGGAACUUGGUGAUGAUGUCAGUUAUCUGCCACUACUAUAUUAAGGUGUUUCUUCCAAAACGAUAAGGAGUGAUGUAAUUCUCAUAAUAGAAUUGUCACUAAGCUUCAGAGUCAUUGUAGUGACUUGCAGGGCUCAGCAUUCCAGCAAAGCCCUUAGUGCAAAUGCUGAAAAUCUUUUCAGUUUGCAUGUCAAAGAUUAUCCUAGACUUUGAUACGUAUGGAAAAACUGGAGUCUGUUCCAUGGAGAUUCUGCGUUUCAGAAAGGCAAAUCAGUACAGAGUCAGCGAGGAGAAAGAGCUUAGUGAUCCAUGGGAUUGGGAAUGUACAGGGGGAAACUGAGAGCGUAAUUACACUACACAGUGAAGUAUAGUAUAUAAAUAAUUGAUUUAAUCACCACUAAACUAUUUCCAGAAGUGACUUUGUGCAGCCACGUUAGUUUGGCUCUGAAUACAUGCUGAGGAAGACUGGCUGUCUCAGUGGCAGGGCACAUUGGUCUGAAAGGAAUGUAUUAACCUGUCUGCACAGCUCUUGGGACCAGGGGCAUGUGGGUGUAGAAUGUCUGCAGUGUCUGCUCUGACAGGCCUGGUGUCACAGCCAGCUGGGACCUCUUCACAUUGCAUACCACGGUAGGAGAGAUGUGCUGUAAAAGACCUUGCCUCAAUGAGCCAAGCUAAAUGAGUAUUAACAGAUGAUAUAAUUUCCUUCUCUGAAUGUACCAGCACAGAGGUAAAGUUCUCCUUAAGCCAAAGAACUGUGUUAAUAGAAGAGCAUCAACUGGCUAGGAAUAUACUGACUCAAAAAAUCAAACAGCAUUUUCUGAGUAGUUACAAAAGGGGCUUUGCUCAGUUUCUGAAAUAAAUUAAGUGAUACAACUGCAAGUGUAAGAGUUGAGUACUUGUAAUGAUUCAGGAGUUUCCUUCUAGUCCUAUGUUCCCAUGUCUCACAAUUCUGUUCAAGCAUCAGAGUCAACAAUACAUCCCACUAUUGAAUCAUCCGGGGAGAGCAGCGUCCUAAUUAUAACCUUGUGCAGUAAUAUUCUCCUCUUUCAUGUAUCUCUUAUCUACAUACAUAUCAACCAUAUUUCAGUUAACACCACUGAGGUGUGAAAGCAGUGGUUUGUCUGGUAGCCAGAGUAUAUAACCUUGAAAAUGUGUAGGGAAUUAGGCUGCUUCAGUUGGACAGUUAAUGAAGCAAUUUUGUUUUAUUGUGAUUCUUCUUGUAGUAGUGACAGAAGCAGGGAGCUCUUGGCCAAAUUUCUUGAAACAAUAUGCCAAACAAAAUACAUCAUGAUUUCAGUCAUUCUAGCCAUGAGGACCUGAGAACUGCUGAAUUCAGCCAGAUGAAAAGUCUACCUAACCUACUAAGGGAAGUAAACAAAAACUUGGGAGAGUUACAUUUAAACCCCUUGUUCCAGUCCAUGUCUGCCUGUGUGUGGCCCUGGUCUACCUGAGGAAGUGCCAUGGGGCUGAGAAAAGUACAAUUUAAGAGCAUGGAGCAUUCCGGGGUGUGUGUAACUCUUUGUAUAAAAGAAUGACUUAUAUGGCACAGUUUGGAUGAUCUCUGGACUUAAACCCAUUACCAGGAAAAAAUAAUGAUGCAAUUUUGAGAGUCAAAUGAAGAGACAACACAUAAUACCAUAUACAAGGAAAAUCAGAUGAGAUCUUUAACAAUAAAAGAGGAGGUACAUGAUGGAGCUAUUUACCAGGUACUAGAAUGUGAAGAAAAGCAGAAUACCUCUUCUCAAAAGGGAAUUACAGAAAUUUAUUGAGGAUAUUGUGGCAUCAUUCCUCUAAAUCCCUUAUACUCCACAGUUCCCUGUUUCUCAUUGGUAUCUAUCCCCUUGCUCUCAGAAGUUUUGCACCCACUUGUUCUUUCCACAUCCCAACAUCCUGUCUGUCUAAACUUGUCUCCUAGGCUCAGCAUUUCUAUCUGACUGUGAACAAAGUUGUCACAGUGGUAAACACUGUCAGAAAAAAUA